rnacentral:rRNA from 1 species
CGUAGGUAACCUGCCUGGUAGCGGGGGAUAACUAUUGGAAACGAUAGCUAAUACCGCAUAAUAUUGACUAUUGCAUGAUAGUCAAUUAAAAGGUGCAAUUGCAUCACUACCAGAUGGACCUGCGUUGUAUUAGCUAGUUGGUGGGGUAACGGCUCACCAAGGCGACGAUACAUAGCCGACCUGAGAGGGUGAUCGGCCACACUGGGACUGAGACACGGCCCAG